GGCCCAGUGGUCUAGUAGUAUGAUUCGCGCUUCGGGAGUUCCCAGGUUUAUCACCUUAAUUGCGCGAGGCCCCGGGUUCAAUUCCCGGCUGGGCCC